GUACUGGCAAAAUCCAGUACCGGGAUUGGAACCCCGCUUAAUUACUCAAGGCACAUAAGUGCCAGCGUUUGCUGGUUUUUU
rnacentral:sRNA from 1 species